UACGUAGGGUCCGAGCGUUGUCCGGAAUUACUGGGCGUAAAGAGCUCGUAGGCGGUUUGUCGCGUCUGCUGUGAAAACUCGGGGCUUAACUCCGGGCCUGCAGUGGGUACGGGCAGACUAGAGUGCGGUAGGGGAGACUGGAAUUCCUGGUGUAGCGGUGAAAUGCGCAGAUAUCAGGAGGAACACCGAUGGCGAAGGCAGCUCGCUGGGACGGUACUGACGCUGAGGCGCGAAAGCGUGGGGAGCGAACAGG
rnacentral:rRNA from 1 species